rnacentral:lncRNA from 1 species
CCAUUAGGUAGAAAUCCCAUAUACUUAAGAUAUGGUAGCAAGUGUUCCCAUUCCCCCAGAACAGGACCAUUGGAACAUGAUUUCUCCAUAUCUUGAAGUGUUAAAAAUUCAGCUUAAGGAGGAUAUUUUUCUUGAAACACCUAGGGUUAAGUCUUAACAACUACAUGAAUUGUUUUAUCCUCUUCCCUUGGGGUUUCAGCAACACUAUCUACUUCUACUCCUACUCCUAAGACUACAAUAUUUUUUUCUUCCGCUCUUUCAUCAAGGCAUUGUUUAGUUUCUAACUCCUUAUUAUGUUGUUCAACCGCUUUUUCCAUAUAGUUCUCAUCUCAUUUUAGAUGAUAUGCAUUGAGAUGAGACUCUAUGUUUUGGCUUGAGACAUGAUAUGCCUCAAUACUUUUAUUGAUAGAAUUGCUUGACUAUUCAGAUUGGAUCAAGAAACUGUUUAGCAUAAGAGCCAAGUUUUCUACCAACUCCAUACUCUCUUCCUCUUGUUCAACUAGUUCCUCCAUAUGGUUCUUUUGGUUUAGAUUUUCAAAUUAUAACCAAUGAUGAAAUCUAGCUUAGCUGCAUGCCUAUCCAAAUAAUCAUUGACUUCAGCAAAAAGGAGUUCAAGUGUAUGGUUUUUUCCAAAAAAAAAAAAAAAUUUCCCAUGCCAUAGCCAACAUUUGGUGUUUUUGUGGACAUGAAAUUUAUUCAAUUGUAGUCACUUAUAUGCUCAGCCCCUUCAUAUUCAAGAAUUUGUGGUUGAACCUCAUCUUCUUCAAAAAAGCUAAAAGGCCAAUAACUCAUAGUUGGCGUGGAAUUUUUUUUUUCCACUUAAACGACUAACUAAAAACAGAAAAUAAAAAUCAAUAAAAACAAAACACAAAACAGAACAAAAUUUGACCAAAAAAGAUCUUGACUAAAAUAAACUGACAAAUAUGAAAAUGACUUAGAAUAAACCACAUAACAAUCCCCGAAUUUUUAUCAAAAAGAGCUUUGAAAUGGAUUUUAAAAAAGAUUUUAUGCAUAAAAAAUGUUAAUACAAGUGAGAAUUGAUCCUAGACUAGCGGAACAUAAUGCACUCUAAAACUAUCUAAGGAAUAUAGGACAUCAUUCAAAACCUAAGAUAAUCUAGAGACAAAGAAAGAACUACAAUACCAUUAUUCUUCCUUGUUGUUCCCUUUUAUAAUUUCCCAUGCAAGUUGGCCUUCUCCUUAUUCAUUUUGAAUGACCAUAUUCCAAUUUUUGUUUUUAAUUGUUUCAUUUGGACAUAUAGUUUACCUCAUUGUACUAGGAACUACUUUAAGAAAAAAUGUAGAAACACAUAUUUGGUUUUCGUCAUAAGAUUCUUAACGAGGAAGUUGCUUGUAUGUGUUCCUUCAAGAGACUUAAGUCUAGUCAUCUAAACAUGUGUAUUCCCUAUUGAAUAUUUUAAUUAUAAUUUACUUUCAGUUGUUUCCUUAAGUGGUAAGUGGUAGGGAUGCCAACAAAUUUUGAAUUCCUCAAUUCCAUCAUUUUCACCUCAUUGAUUUUUACAACAAAAAUUAUGUAUAUUUUUAACUUCAAUUCUCAAGCCUGGAUUUUUUUUAUUUAUAUCUAUACAAUGACAAUUCUAUAUUCCAUAACUAGUUAAUUCCCGUUCUCUUUUUUAUUAAGAGAACACAACAUUUUUCUCAACUCGUUUAAUUUCCACAUUUAAUUUGUAUUAUCUUUGCUGGAGUGGAUUCUACUAAUAUUUCCGAUCAUUUGUUGCAGUUUACGUAUAUGACUGGUGUUGAUAAAGCUAAACGUUCGUUGUAACGCCCUAAUUUAUUAUUUAUUUAUUUUAUUGAGUUUAGAUGUCUUUUUAUAAUUUAGUCGAUUUAUUUUGAUGAGUGAUAUUUUGUUAUGUUAUANUUUGAUUGUUUCAUUUGGACAUAUAGUUUACCUCAUUGUACUAGGAACUACUUUAACAAAAAAUGUAGAAACACUUAUUUAAGAUUUUAUUAAUAUUUUUUGCACUACACUCUUUUGGUUAUCAUAAAGUAUUAUCUUACUUGAUUUUCCUCAUAAGAUUCUUAACAAGGAAGUUGCUUGUAUGUGUUCCUUCCCAAGACUUAAGUCUAGUCAUCUAAACAUAUUUAUUCCCUAUUGAAUAUUUUAAUUAUAUUUUACUUUCAGUUGUUUCUUUAAGUGGUAAGUGGUAGGGUUGCCAACAAAUUUUGAAUUCCUCAAUUCCAUCAUUUUCAUCUCAUUCAUUUUUACAACAAAAAUUAUGUACAUUUUUAACUUCAAUUCUCAAGCCUGAAUUUUUUUUAUUUAUGUCUAUACAAUGACAAUUCUAUAUUCCAUAACUAGUUAAUUCUCGUUCUCUUUUUUAUCAAGAGCACACAACAUUUUUCUCAACUCGUGUAAUUUUCACGUUUAAUUUAUAUUAACUUUGAUAUAGAAAGAUAUAAAAAAUAACUCUAUAUUAUUUUAGUUUGUAAAAAAAAGGGUGUUGUUACCCCUUGGAUCUGUUAUUAAGGCACCUUUUUUCUUUAGAUUCAUUAUUGUUGUUUCUCUUUUUGGAUUUCCUCCUAUAUAUCACAAGAUGCUAAAAUAUAAAUAAUUAAUAUAUAUAUAAUAUAUUUUAAUAAAGAAAAUAAUGAACAAAUUACAUUAUUAUAAUUGACUUUUGCAACUCCUAAGUUCUAAAAAGCAUUUAAUUAAAAUUAAAAGAGCUUGAAGUUUUACUUAUUUAGAGAUCAAAAAUACUUUUACAUUACAAUUAAAGGAGUUAAAACAUGGCUCAAAUACUCAUGUUCGUUAGUGUUUUGAUCAUCUUUCUUUCUCUUUUUUUGGCUGAUACCAAACAAAGUAAGUUUUAUUCACACCAUUUUUAAAUUUUCUAGUUUAUAUUAUACACACUAUUUUAUCAUCUUCUAGUAAUAUUUUAUUUUGUGUUUUGACAAUGCAGCUAAUAUUCCUUGUGAGAAUAAACGUGAUUGUCCACAACCGUUAUAUCCUAAAUUUGUGACGUGCUUUGAAGGUUUAUGUCGGAUGCAUUAUCCACUAAAAAAAAUUUAAAAUAAUUAUCUUUCCUUAAAUCAUUGAAUAAUAUUUGUAUUCUACCAAAAAUAAUAAUAAUAUAUGUACCUUUAUUGUGGACUAUUAAAUUUGAAAAUAAUUAUGUUUCCUAAAUUCAUAUAAUAAUGUUUGUGUUAUGUUUCUAAGGCCUAGAUGGCCCUUCAUACAGUUCAGAACAGUUGUUCCCCAAGCUAUAGGAUGAGGAAAUCGGACUCUAGCUUGAUAGAAGCUUUCACAGAUCCAACAUUUAACUAGAAGCACGUUCUUUGAGCUUGAACAUUAGUGUCUCCCAAAAAAAUAUGAGUAUUUUUGAGGUGGAAAUACUUAGUGUAAGUAAACACAGUCAAGGUUAUAAUAUAAAAAGAUAUUGAUAUCAUAGGGACUGUAAAUCUAUAGCUUCAUGUAGCUUUUCAGCAUAAAACUUGUUUGUAAGAAAAUAAAAUAAAUCAUUUGUCCCAACAAUAAAUCUAAAAAGUUAAGUUGGAAAAACAGUUUAAAAGAUUUAGAAAUUCUCAAGAUGGAAAGUGUGGUUUAAACUAAGUUCAGUUAUGAUAAAACAUUACUGCGAUUUACAAAGUUAUAGCUUGGUACAACUCCUGUGACUCAGCGCUAUAGCCAGUUCAAAUAAUAUUUGGCAACCGAGAUUCAUAUGGCUAUAUAUCUCUCCAUCUUCCUUGCAACCCAAUUGGUCUUAGGGAGUGUUACCUCAUCCAUCGUGUUAAGGUCGUAACGACACAUUGUUCAGAAUACAAAGAGUCCGAACUUUUGGGGUAAGAUUAUGAAGAGUUUAGGGUCACAAGCCGUUGUUUCCUAUGACAAGAGUCCUACCAAGAACUUACCGCUUAGCUAUAGCUUUGAGGCUCUACUAAGUUCAUAUCUAAGAAAGAGUCUUUUAGGGUUUCGUAUCUUUGUUAAGCCUUGUGCUUUAUUGUAUACCUCUCUGGUUGUUACAAUUGAUUAUACAAAGCACAUAGUUGGUUUGUUGUAGUUGAGUUGUAUUGGAUCAAAACCAUCGUUUGAUAAAAGACAAUUAUUAGGGUUUUUGAGUCCUUGAUGUGAGCCGUUGUUGUAUCACGUUGAGGCAUAGAGUUGGACUGUAGUUAAGUUGUAAGCACGAGUUGAUUCUUAGAAUUGGAGAGUGUCUCCAUUACCGUUGUUACUUUUAAGACGAUCACUAGAAUUGUGAUUGAGAGGAAGUGAGAUGGGGAUCUCUCAUAUCUAGGACUAUGAGAGUCUUAGGUAGAAAUUACACGGAUAGUGAUUCAAUAAGAAGGCAGUGAAUUGGGAUUGUUCACGUGUGAAUCAGAGAUUGUUCACUUGAAACAUCAAAUUUCACAGUACAACAUUUGGCAAGAUGCAGGUACUAAAUGCUAUGCCGUGGAGGAAGUCGAUCCUUAUAGUUCCCAUGAAGACAUAGAACGACCACGUGCAGAUCAAGAAAAGAAAGUUGCAAAUAACACCAGAAAAGAGGAUGUCAGGGAAGGAGCUAUUGGGGGCUCUUGGAAGAAGAGUAUUUAUGAAGACUUUGAUGUAUAGACCCCACACGUAAGGAUCACCGCAUGAUGAGCAGGUGCAACUUGACGACCGAUUAGGUUAGUAACAUCCCAACGACCUCAUCACUUAUAUAGUCUACCUAAGAUAAAUAAACACGACAUUACUUUUAUUUAAUAUCCAAAAAAUAAAUAGGGGGGAUUGAAAUAUUCCUAACCGCCACUUACUUUUAUGCAACGAAAACAGGUAACUUGCUCAGUUGCAAAUAGAUAAAAAUUGCAAAUCUCUAAUCCUUUAACUCUUAUUAUUUUAUCGUCAACUAAAAAAAAGUAACACGAAUUGUUUGGACGAAAAGAUAAUCCAUGUGGAUACGAUACUCUACUUAUCACUUUAUUACUUAGUAAACGAUUUGGUGCACUUGCCUAAUCCGCACAUCAGUAAACGCAAGACUUGCCUUUCAGCGCUGCAGCUCUCUGUAGCUUGUAGGUCGUUGCAGAUUUGAGGUUUUUGUAGGAUCUGGUCUUUUUUAUUUUAUUUUUUUUGGGGCUGGAGUGUCUUCCUCCUUCAGGUUAGAAGUUGGAGAUUAUAACUUGUACUUUUUUUAGGGGAUUGUAACUUGUACUUAGAAGGCUGCAUCCUUGAUUUAUUAAGUUACAACCUCUCUUUUUCUUUGUCUUAGGAAGUUGCAACUUUGGAUUUGAGGUUAUAGCAACGACAUCUGAGGCUACAACUUCUUCUAUUUGAUGGUUUAACUUCCUAUUUCUUUCCUCAAUUACUAGACAAUUCAUGGACGACUUAUCUUGAAGCACAAUUCUUUCUUUGUUGUUCUUCCUUCUCAAUAGACACGGUCAGAAUACCCUUUCCCUUGUGAUGAACAACUCGUUUCUUUGAAGUUGUNGCUGCAAAGUAUUGGUUAUUUACCAAAGUUGAUUUUAAAUAAAUAGCAUUUAUUUUCUAUUUAAGAAAUUUUGAAAAGCAGUGUGACAUUCCCGUUUGAUUGUUGAACUCUGAUUUCUUGAUUUAUUUAUUUAAUAUUUAGCUAUUGGGAUAACGGGGUGUUACAGAUGAAGUAUUAUAUGAAUGUAUAUGUUGAUGAAUAUGAUGUUGUAUGAUGUUGUUCAUGAUUGAUGAAGUAUUAUAUGAAGGUAUAUGUUGAUAAAUUUGAUGUUACAUGAUGUUGUUUAUAAUUGAUGAAUUAUGAUAUUAUGAUGCUAUCGUUAAGCUGCAAGUAAUCUAAGUUGUUGAAGUUGUCUAAGUUGUUAAAGUUGUUGGUUGCUGAGUCCUUGCAUACUCAUUAAAUUUGAGGGCUUGAUGCCCUGUUGGAUGUAUAAUCAUUCAUAUUAAGUUGAGGGCUUGAUGCCCUGAGAGCCUUUUAUGCUCUAUGAGUUGGGGGCUUGAUGCCAUGUGAGCCCUUUUGUGCUCUAUAAGUUGGGGGAUUGAUGCCCUGUGAUAACCAGAAUUAGCUGUUGAUGUGAGUUGACUCUCUCACACGUCGUCUUAGGGUCUCUCUGAUACGUAAGGGGAUGGGGAUCUUUGCAUUGUUUUCCAUUUGUUACGUAUAUUUAUGAAUUAUGUUGAUGAACCACCUAGAAUGGAAUUUUAAUAAGUUGUUUAUGUUGAGGCCGUAGUGCCAUUUUCUUGAAUAAUGAAAUGUUUUUCCGCUGCGAUGUAAUUUGAAUUAUUGAUGAAAGAUGUUUAAAUAAAUAGUAAUUCUACUCUAUUUAUCUUUUAAAGUAGUGUGACAUCCUGUUUAAGUUGAUUACUCUGAUUAAUAUGUAAAAAAUUUCAAGUUGGAAAAACGGGGUGUUACAAUUAGUAUAAGAGCAGGUCGGUCCGUCCGACCAAGUAGUUGAGUCGUUUGUGUAGUGUGACAGUUGAAUACCGUCGUUGUGUUUUUCUAAUUAAUGGUUAUGUUUUAUUAUGUGAUCAUGUUUGACUGACUAACUUUAAUGUGAUUUUAGUGUAAUGUUUGAAGUUACUAUUUUGUCAUACAUAGUUUAAGAUAUUUAACCAAUAAAUAAAUUCAUUUUUCUCUUGUGCUUUGAAUUUCGAGGACGAAAUUCUUUUAAGGGGAGUAGAGUUGUAACGCCCUAUUUUAUUAUUUAUUUAUUUUAUUGAGUUUAGAUGUCUUUUUUUAAUUUAGUCGAUUUAUUUUGAUGAGUGAUAUUUUGUUAUGUUAUAUGUUUGUAUUUAUUAGUAUAAUAUAUAUGUUAUCUGGCGUAGAAAUAUAUUUGUUAUUUGGUGUAGAAAUAUAUGUGUUAUGUGGUGUAGAAAUAUAUUUGUUAUUUGGUGUAGAAAUAUAUGUGUUAUGUGGUGUAGAAAUAUAUUUGUUAUUUGGUGUAGAAAUAUAUAUGUUAUCAGGUGUAGAAAUAUAUUUGUUAUAGAGAUAUAUUUGUUAUUUGUUAUAGAAAUAUUAUAUAUAUAUAUAUAUAUAUAUAUAUAUAUUAAAAUAGAAUAUUGAGAUGUGAGGNCAUGCCAUAGCCAACAUUUGGUGUUUUUGUGGACAUGAAAUUUAUUCAAUUGUAGUCACUUAUAUGCUCAGCCCCUUCAUAUUCAAGAAUUUGUGGUUGAACCUCAUCUUCUUCAAUAAAGCUAAAGGACCAAUACCUCAUAGUUGGCGUGGAUUUUUUUUCUUCACAGAAACGACUAACUAAAAACAGAAAAUAAAAAUCAAUAAAAACAAAACACAAAACAGAACAAAAUUUGACCAAAAAAGAUCUUGACUAAAAUAAACUGACAAAUAUGAAAAUGACUUAAAAUAAACCACUCAACAAUCCCCGAAUUUUUUUAUCAAAAAGAGCUUUGAAAUGGAUUUUAAAAAAGAUUUUAUGCAUAAAAAAUGUUAAUACAAGUGAGAAUUGAUCCUAGACUAGCGGAACAUAAUGCACUCUAAAACUAUCUAAGGAAUAUAGGACAUCAUUCAAAACCUAAGAUAAUCUAGAGACAAAGAAAGAACUACAAUACCAUUAUACUUCCUUGUUGUUCCCUUUUAUAAUUUCCCAUGCAAGUUGGCCUUCUCCUUAUUCAUUUUGAAUGANNN